rnacentral:rRNA from 1 species
CGCCGCAUUUAGAUGCCGGUAUGCUGCGUGCGUUUACGCGCUUAAGGGGGUACCGUAGAGGUUCAUUGUGAAGCAGGUGGAAACACCGUCGCACUCGGCGACAUUUGCAUUACCGAGAUCCCCGCAUUGGUACGUCGGGCCCUUGCAACGUUCGAAAUCCUUUGCAACCGGACGAGACCGUUGCUCUUCUCCGUCUCGCAGCGUGGUGGAUGUGGUAUACUUCGACCCCUCCCCCUUUCCACGAAAGUGGUCGACCCUUAUAUAUACCUUGUUUGUAACUGAUAGUGUACACAGUACCGUGAGGGAACAAUUGAAACUGGGCUGGAACUCUCCUAUGCAACUUUCUCUCUCAAGAGCACACGAUUGCAAUACAUUAAUCCAGUGGAUAUUUAUGUACAGCACUCUACCCGCGUUUUUUAAGACUUUUAAUAUA